rnacentral:lncRNA from 1 species
AAUUGCAACUAAAUUAUUGAUUCUGCUGAAAGGUUAUGGAAAUAUGUUCACACAUACACACUGCGGCAUGAGCUUUUUCUAAGUCAAAGCUGAGGCCUCACAAAGGAUGUUAACCUUCUAGGUGUUUUAAAUACAUCCAUCUGUGAGAAGACUUCAAAAUGGAUUUUGCAAAAGGUAAUUGGAAUUAACAGCUUUUUGUGAUUUGGAGCUUGGCAAAUCUCCAGUGUAAUAAAAUCUGGUAUAAGCACUGAACAAAUAAAGAGGGGGGCAACCUUCCUAGAGAAAUGAAAUGAAUGUUAAAGUAUAAUAACAAUUUAAAAAAAAUUAAAAACCUAUUCUUUUGGU